GAGGACUCACGAAUCUGUUACUGAAGGGAAGCUCAGCAGGGCAAUGUUCCGAUUUGUAAGGGGGCGGUGUGUUCUUUUAUUUAUUGGACUGAGACAGAGAAGUCGACAAGGAAGUGGGAAAUAGAGACGGAGAGAGAAAGACACGUGGCAGCGCCUUUUCACCCCCUCGGGGAGCUUCCCCCUGCAAGUGGGGGCUGGGGGCUUGAACCCGGUUCCUUGUCGGUGCUGCCCCGUCGUCACCCAGGGGCAUCGCUGCCACGUCUGGGUUCUUGAGGUCGUGUGUCGUUCUGCUUCUUGGCCUGCCUAUCUGUGGAGAUCGCUGUGUGCCAAUCUGCACCCUGUACACUGCGGGCAGUAUGUAUUGCAGAUCCGGCCUAUGUGUGCAGGGCAUCCAUCUCUCUUCGUGCAUGCAGUGUGCAACAUACAUGUUGCGCGAGUGUAUUUUUGGAAGAGUAGAAGUAUUCUGCCAGAGAGUGACUGGAGUCACGAGUCACAGUUCUCUCUUGGAAAGCACCAUCUUAAAAGGCAGGCGGCGGCUUUGAGCUAAACCUUAGAAUCUGAAUAGACAUAGGAACAUGGAAUUUCCAUUUAAAAACUUAAAAGGUAAUCUGGCACUAGAGGCAGAUCAGCCCAAAGCCAUUUUAAAUAUAGAAACAGCAUUACAACUACAGUUAAGUACAUUUGAAUGUAACUUUUUAAAGCCUAUUUGGAAAAAAAAAAUAAGUUGAGAAAAAAAAAAAAUAAAUAAAAAAAUAAGUUGAGAAGUGACUUUUCUUUCUCAAAGUUUUGAUAUUGACAGUUUCUUCCUUUACCAUCUCACUUGUCCUCUUUCCUACGGCAAUAGUAUAUAACUUAGGCUACUUCUUGCUUCAGGUUUUUUAAUGAAAAAGUCAUGCCAUGGAUUUUUCUUUUGCAAGACACCUGUUUAUCACCUUGUUCACAUGUAAAUGUUCCCUUAUGUUUUUGAAAUAAAUUUCCUUUUGUAAUUUAAAAAAAAAAAGGCAGGCAGCAGUAGGGAAUCAAGGACAUGUGGCAAUGCGGACUGGAAAUGCCACAGAGAAGGGGUCGGGGAGGUGCGCGUGCAGCCUCUCAGGCGUGCAGCCUGAGUCUCCAGGAAGAUAGCCUCCCUCCUGCCCUUACCUUGUUAUUGUGUUUCCAAGUGUUUACCUGUCUUUAGUCAUCAAGUUACCUUUCAUCAGGCCAGGGAGAAGAGAUUCCAUGUUCUCCAGAAAUUCACAUGAUGGUAGCAGACAACAUUUCCCAACACAAGCAUGACAACAAGGAUCAGAGUUAUGGUCUCAGAUCUGCAGAGGCCACGACUGCUCACAGACAGAAUGCAGAUGUGAACAAAAGCUCCCUUCUCCCAAGUCACGCGUGAGCAGGAUGUGCCUUCAUGUCCAUCCACAGCUGGCACGCGAGAUCUGACGCUAUGGGAAGCAGUCCCAAGCUGGGGGAGUCUCCAAGUGGAGACGGAAGUCACCAGUGCCCAGGGCCUCAGUGUGACCACAGCCGGACGACUGCACUCAGGCAAGAAGGGUGAUGGCACUUUAUAACGAAGCUGCAAGGUACAUGCUCACUCGAAGAGACCCAGCUUCAUGUGGAAGGCAGAGUGAAAAUUAGGGUCAUUGUUUAAAUACCUGCUGUUUAAAUACCAGAAAAACAAAAGGUUUCUGGUGCAUGUGGGGAGUGAGAUGUGCACCUCAUUAGCUGGUGAGCUUUUACUUUGUACACUGUUAUACAGUUCACUCAUAAACUAAAAAAGCGCGCGCGCACACACACACACACACUCUCUCUCUCUCUCUCUCUAGUUGUUGUCCCAGAAGAGGUCUCUGCGAUGCUGCCAGCUCUGUCCUCUCCGGGGCUUGAGAACCUGCUGGUUGCAGUCAUUACUGAGUGGGGCUUGUUUAUACCCUCUGGGAGGACGGUCCCCUGUGUGUCCUGAGCCGCUGGUGGUACACGGCCUCCCCAUAGCCUUGUAGGACCAGCUGGGUUCUGUAGAGGAUGGUUCCAUCCAAACAGUGAAGCAGCGUAGCAUUUUUUUUUCCUUUUUUGCUUCUAGAUAAGACCUGAUCAGCAAGAACCCAGCCUCUUUCAUCAAACAAUGUGCUUUGUGGAAGUACUUAGCAGAGAUAACUCACACGCUGGUGCAACUCCAGUGAGCUAAGCCAGAUCCUCUACAUAGAAUUAGGGGGUCCAGGCUUGUCCAAGAAACACUUUCACAAGGUCAUGGGGGCAUCUACUAGAGCAGCCAGCACAUCCUCCCUUUUGAUUCUCAUUUUUGACACCGCUCUGAGAGGGUGGAGUGACCUGGAGUGCACCCUAAUCUUUUCGGGAACAAUCUCAAGUUAUGCGCAGACAGAGCAAAAAAA